AGUGAACGCUGGCGGUAAGCCUAACACAUGCAAGUCGAACGGCAGCACAGUAAGAGCUUGCUCUUACGGGUGGCGAGUGGCGGACGGGUGAGGAAUACAUCGGAAUCUACUUUUUCGUGGGGGAUAACGUAGGGAAACUUACGCUAAUACCGCAUACGACCUACGGGUGAAAGCAGGGGAUCUUCGGACCUUGCGCGAUUGAAUGAGCCGAUGUCGGAUUAGCUAGUUGGCGGGGUAAAGGCCCACCAAGGCGACGAUCCGUAGCUGGUCUGAGAGGAUGAUCGGCCACACUGGAACUGAGACACGGUCCAGACUCCUACGGGAGGCAGCAGUGGGGAAUAUUGGACAAUGGGCGCAAGCCUGAUCCAGCCAUACCGCGUGGGUGAAGAAGGCCUUCGGGUUGUAAAGCCCUUUUGUUGGGAAAGAAAAGCAGCAGGUUAAUACCCCGCUGUUCUGACGGUACCCAAAGAAUAAGCACCGGCUAACUUCGUG
rnacentral:rRNA from 1 species